rnacentral:rRNA from 1 species
GACGGAGGUCCCAAGCGUUGUUCGGAAUCACUGGGCUUAAAGCGCGUGUAGGCGGGUCGGCACGUACCUUGUGAAAUCCCUUGGCUCAACCAAGGAACUGCUCGGUAUACGGCCGGUCUUGAGGCAGGUAGAGGCGCCUGGAACCUUAGGUGGAGCGGUGAAAUGCGUAGAUAUCUAAGGGAACGCCGGUGGCGAAAGCGGGGCGCUGGGCCUGUCCUGACGCUAAGACGCGAAAGCGUAGGGAGCAAACGGG